rnacentral:hammerhead_ribozyme from 1 species
AUCCAGUUGAUGAGUCCCAAAUAAGAUGAAACGCGCGUCCUGGAU